rnacentral:lncRNA from 1 species
GAAGAUGCUUUUCUGACUGAUCAACUUCAUAAGAUCCUAGUUCCUUCUGAGAUCUAAAGUACACCAUAGUUGAACAAUUCAGAAAGCUCAUAUUACACUAUUAAUAGCAUUAUCAAACCGUACUUGUUGUUCAUCAAAUUGAUUCAUACAUGUUGUAUUUUCCUUUGCUGCCAAGAAGACAUUGGUUUUCUUACAGAAUCUAGACUGAAUGACUACUGCUUAUGUGAUAGUACAUAUUCUAAGUAGGCUCUUGUUUGCUUAUAAAUAACACCUAAAGGUUGCCUGUCACAAAUAACAUUUAAAGCUGGUUGAUCUAUUAGGCCAUGUCACUGUCAGAUAUUUAUGCAAGAUCCAUCUGAAUAUAGAUGGUACACAUAAAUGUUACAAAAUCGAUCCAACUUUACCAAUUCAAUCUUAAUCUCUUCCUUUGACUUAGUAGGGGGAGGAGGUGGAGACCCUCCCUUCCACUUCGUUUCACUCUCACAACUCCCUCAAUCUCUCACUGUUGAAAGAUUAAAGUAGAAAAUUGGGCCCAUAAACUCAAGAUUCAGCUCACUUGACCUACAUUUGAUAGAAAAUAUCAAAAUUAGAUGGAAAAUAUUGAGAUUAUUUACCUCAAAUUAUGCUGUUACAACCUUACCUCUUGUUUUCCUUCAAAUUCAGUCUUCGAACUUUGGCUUUCUCUCAAAAUUCAUGUUCAUUUUUCUGUGUUCUUGCCAGUAAACAAGUACUGCACCGAUCUAGAGAUUUUUGCUAUCUGUGACUCUACUAAAGUUGCCAAAAUCUUUUGGGUAGCUCAAAUUAGGGAUGAAAAUGGUGGCUUAAAGUGAUUUUCUAGAUAAUUUCAGCAAGAUGAUAGUGGAGAGAAGGAGAAGAUGAUAGUUUUGAAGCUAGCAAGAAG